GAUCCUCCAUGAAUAUUCCAGGGCUCCUUGUUUGUCGGGAAGGCUGUCUCCCUUUCAUCUAUUCAGCCUUCUGAUAGACAACCCUGACACCUGCUCCCUGGGGAGACCCUCCGCCAAGUCAGCGCACUGUUCCUUGAGAGACUUCCCUUACUUUAUCAGCCCAUAAAGGAUUGUCACAGGUGACUAUAUCAGCUGAGGUAUGGAGCUGCUCCCUCUGACCUGCACUGCCGCAGAGAGGUCGAGGCACCACACGGUCGAGGCACCAUGCACCGCAUCACAAGCGGAUUAAGG